GACGAACGCUGGCGGCGUGCUUAACACAUGCAAGUCGAACGAUGAAGCCAGCUUGCUGGUGGAUUAGUGGCGAACGGGUGAGUAACACGUGGGUGAUCUGCCCCAAACUUUGGGAUAAGCCUGGGAAACUGGGUCUAAUACCGAAUAUGACCGAUACUCGCAUGGGUGUUGGUGGAAAGCUCCGGCGGUUUGGGAUGGGCCCGCGGCCUAUCAGCUUGUUGGUGGGGUAAUGGCCUACCAAGGCGACGACGGGUAGCCGGCCUGAGAGGGCGACCGGCCACACUGGGACUGAGACACGGCCCAGACUCCUACGGGAGGCAGCAGUGGGGAAUAUUGCACAAUGGGCGCAAGCCUGAUGCAGCGACGCCGCGUGAGGGAUGACGGCCUUCGGGUUGUAAACCUCUUUCACCAGGGACGAAGCGAAAGUGACGGUACCUGGAGAAGAAGCACCGGCCAACUACGUGCCAGCAGCCGCGGUAAUACGUAGGGUGCGAGCGUUGUCCGGAAUUACUGGGCGUAAAGAGCUCGUAGGCGGUUUGUCGCGUCGUUCGUGAAAACUUGGGGCUUAACUCCAAGCGUGCGGGCGAUACGGGCAGACUUGAGUACUACAGGGGAGACUGGAAUUCCUGGUGUAGCGGUGAAAUGCGCAGAUAUCAGGAGGAACACCGGUGGCGAAGGCGGGUCUCUGGGUAGUAACUGACGCUGAGGAGCGAAAGCGUGGGUAGCGAACAGGAUUAGAUACCCUGGUAGUCCACGCCGUAAACGGUGGGUACUAGGUGUGGGUUCCUUUUCACGGGAUCCGUGCCGUAGCUAACGCAUUAAGUACCCCGCCUGGGGAGUACGGCCGCAAGGCUAAAACUCAAAGGAAUUGACGGGGGCCCGCACAAGCGGCGGAGCAUGUGGAUUAAUUCGAUGCAACGCGAAGAACCUUACCUGGGUUUGACAUACACCAGAAAGCCAUAGAGAUAUGGCCCCCCUUGUGGUUGGUGUACAGGUGGUGCAUGGCUGUCGUCAGCUCGUGUCGUAAGAUGUUGGGUUAAGUCCCGCAACGAGCGCAACCCUUGUCCUGUGUUGCCAGCACGUAAUGGUGGGGACUCGCUGGAGACUGCCGGGGUCAACUCGGAGGAAGGUGGGGAUGACGUCAAGUCAUCAUGCCCCUUAUGUCCAGGGCUUCACACAUGCUACAAUGGCCGGUACAGAGGGCUGCGAUACCGUGAGGUGGAGCGAAUCCCUUAAAGCCGGUCUCAGUUCGGAUCGGGGUCUGCAACUCGACCCCGUGAAGUCGGAGUCGCUAGUAAUCGCAGAUCAGCAACGCUGCGGUGAAUACGUUCCCGGGCCU
rnacentral:rRNA from 1 species